rnacentral:rRNA from 1 species
CGCAGGACGAACGCUGGCGGCAUGCCUAACACAUGCAAGUCGAACGGAAUAGGUUGGUUGUAGCGAUACUUUCGGACCUAUUUAGUGGCGAACGGGUGAGUAACACGUGAGCAACCUGCCUUCACACAGGGAUAACAGCCGGAAACGGCUGCUAAUACCGGAUAAGACCACACCGAGGCAUCUCGGAGGGGUCAAAGCGCUUUAGCGGUAGAAGAUGGGCUCGCGUCCCAUUAGCUAGUUGGUGAGAUAACAGCCCACCAAGGCGACGAUGGGUAGCCGACUUGAGAGAGUGAUCGGCCACAUUGGAACUGAGACACGGUCCAGACUCCUUCGGGAGGCAGCAGUGGGGAAUAUUGGGCAAUGGAGGAAACUCUUACCCAGCCAAUGCCGCGUGGAUGAGGAAGGCCUUCGGGUUGUAAAGUCCUUUUAUUGAUGAUAAAGAAAGUGAUAUUAGUCAAUGAAUAAGCCCCGGCUAACUACGUGCCAGCCGCAGC